CCUACGGGAGGCAGCAGUGGGGAAUUUUGGACAAUGGGCGCAAGCCUGAUCCAGCCAUGCCGCGUGCAGGAUGAAGGCCUUCGGGUUGUAAACUGCUUUUGUACGGAACGAAAAGACUCUGGUUAAUACCUGGGGUCCAUGACGGUACCGUAAGAAUAAGCACCGGCUAACUACGUGCCAGCAGCCGCGGUAAUACGUAGGGUGCGAGCGUUAAUCGGAAUUACUGGGCGUAAAGCGUGCGCAGGCGGUUAUAUAAGACAGAUGUGAAAUCCCCGGGCUCAACCUGGGAACUGCAUUUGUGACUGUAUAGCUAGAGUACGGCAGAGGGGGAUGGAAUUCCGCGUGUAGCAGUGAAAUGCGUAGAUAUGUGGAGGAACACCGAUGGCGAAGGCAAUCCCCUGGGCCUGUACUGACGCUCAUGCACGAAAGCGUGGGGAGCAAACAGGAUUAGAUACCCUGGUAGUCCACGCCCUAAACGAUGUCAACUGGUUGUUGGGUCUUCACUGACUCAGUAACGAAGCUAACGCGUGAAGUUGACCGCCUGGGGAAGUACGGCCGCGAAGGUUGAAACUUCAAAGGAAUUGACGGCUUGAGACGNGCGAGGACGACGACGAGGGAGGAGG
rnacentral:rRNA from 1 species